UUGAUUCUUGUCUGAUUUUUGGCAUUUUUUGUUUGGUGGAUUUUGGAGAGAAUAAUAUUUUCUUUUUCUUGUUUGAAUGAAAUUUCUGUUCUACCCUUGCAUUAUUGUUUGCUAGUAUGGAUUUUAGAUAUAGUACUAGUAAAUUAUGGUGACCUUUUCAACUUUUCUUUCAAGAUUUUUUUAACAGGUGCUCAAAGUUACGAGUUAGUACGUCUAAUCAAUAUUCAAUUUGUCAUUUACCACACUCUCAAAUUUAUUGUUAUUAUCAAAUGUAAGUUUCUCUUUUUUUCCUCCCUAAGAUUUAGUGUACGUUUUCAACAUGAAUUCUCUAAUAGCUAGUGUUCAUCGAGUGCCCAUUAGAUAAAUUCUUUAUCUAAUAAUAAUUCUAUCGAGGUGAUUGUUAAGUUCUUAAUACAAUUGAUAAUAUAAGAUCUAAAAGGAAGUUAGUAUAAUUGCAUAAAUAAAGGCUAGAGACUUUUGUCGUUUAAUUGAUAGAGUACUAGUAAUUAGGAGGCACUUAUUCUACUUACACGUAAUUUAGUAGUAAUUUCUCCCUUGUCAUUGGUUUAUGUACGGCUAAAUGAUGCAUUUUUAAUUUGGUUCCAGGAUGACACCCUCUUAUUUUAGGUGUUUCCUUUCUCUUUUUUGGUUUGCCUUUUCAUCUUUCUUUUUCUUAUCGGGGGUUAAGUGCUCUUUUCCUGUUCUUUGUUUCUUGUUUUUUUGUAUGUUUCUGUUUCUCCAAAAUUGUUGACCUUAAUAAAUGUUUCUUCUACGGUUCUACUAGUCUGAAACCUAGCUCUGGGUUAAAACAUUAAAAGUCAAUGAAGGUUUCAACCUACAUUUUACUCUAUUCCUUUUUUUUUUUUUUUUUUGUGUGUGUAUUCCGGUUUGCUAGGCAUUUUGGUAAAAUCCGUAACUUGACUCCUUAAGUUUUCUUUUUCUUUUUCUUUUUUAGUUGUAUUGUUACAAGCUGUUUGGUAUUUUAUAGCUUAGGAAGAAGUUCAAUUGGCUUCAUAAAGUGGUGAAAUAGGAUGGAUUUCUAGAAUUCUGGCUUUAUGAUUAUUGGAUUUCAUAUUGAAAGGUCAUUGAUGUUUGAUGUUGUUUAAUUGGGUUUGAACUUUAAUUGAAGUAUAAUAGGCAUUUUCUGCAAAUCCGAAGUUUAAUGUCAAAUUGGAAGUAGUGUUCUGUGAACAUUUAGAGGCUGUUUGUUUUGUAUUUUAAAGAGUUUUUAAGGAAAAAUUAUUACAGUAUUUUUUUAGAAUAUGAUAUGUAUGACAUAAAAAUGUGAUCGAGAACUAUAUGAAAGGAAUAAUUAUGAAAAUAGAAAAAUAUUUUAUAAAAAAUGACAAUUCAAACAAGACCUUGACUUUUCAAUAAAGUACUGGACUCACGUCAUGUCUUACAUAGGGAUGAGCUAUCAACGUUUCACUUUUUAAGUAAAAUAUUUACUUGACAUAAGCUGGCAGUGGAUCCUACAUUUCUACUACAACUCAUGAUUUUUAGAAAACAAAAUUACAACUUGAAAUUUAUCACUUUUGUAGGUUACACAUGUGUAGAUAGCUUCAUAAUUAGCCAUUAGACACCUAAAUAAUUAACUAAACAUUGAAGAAAAGGGCAAACGUGUUAAACCUAAGGUAUCUAGUUAUCUCAUAAAGAUAAAUUUUGUAUGUACAAUAAAGUUGACGAAAGUGCCAAUCUAAGUCAAAUUCAUUUUGAUUUCUUAUGAGUGGAAAUUGCAAUAUUUAUUGACAGUAUUAAAAGUAUGGAUUAAUUUUCUAUUUAUUUUUUUUGGGUAAUAAAAGGGACCAUAUAUUGAAAAAACUUAAGUUAUAGGUACAAAACGAGGGAAGCAAAUUCCCUUAAGAUCUGCAUCCACUAGACUUCUCAAAGCAUGAGGAACACUGUCAUAACAUGCAAAAUGCACGUCUUGUUGAGCAUUCAGUUUCUAAUUUUCUAUACUUUGACACGUUAGACGUAUAAAAAUUAAUUUAAAUUUAUAUUUAAAAUCUAAAUUUUAUACAUAUAUCAUACAUCUAAGUGUAACAAUAUAUACAAUUUUAGUAUAUAUAAAAUUAACUCUAAGUGUAUUAACCCCUAAAAUAUGAACGGUCAAGUCAUUGGAAUUUAUAAUGAUAAUCUGAAUCAUCAAUGGGCAAAAUCGGAAGUUUAAGAAGAUUGGGUAGGCCCUCUCCUGUCUCACUCUCUCCAACCGGGAAUGGAGCCGGCAUGGGGGCCAAUUAAUAGGCACCCUAGGUUUGAAGCGCCCAUUGUUUAGCCAAAAAACCACGCUGAUAAAUUAAGAAUAUCUAUCUUGAAGAAUAAAAUAUCCUGUGCUUGAAAAAAAAAAAAGAAAAAGAAUCUCACUCUUUUUUUUUUCCUUCUAUAGAUAGCCCUAAGCCCUAGGGCUAGGGGCAUUGACUUCCAAAGAUAGAGAUGUUAAUUUUUUUUUCAAUUUUUUAGUUCUUCCUAUAUAUGUGAAUUAUUCUAUUUUUUUUUUUGGGCCGUCAAAUGAUCUGAGAGCAAAAGUUUUUCUAAUUUAUCAUUUAUAUGGCUAUGAAUUUUAGAGGCCAAUCUAGUUGUAUGUCACAUCUAGUCAUGGAAUUAGGUUCCUAAAGUUUUCUUUUUGUUCUCGAGCCGCCAUAAUUAAUUAUUCUCCCAAUCAAUCUUUAGAUUUUUAUUGGGCAAGGAUUUCACUUUUUGGGAUGAUUUAAUUACCUAAUAUUAGUACAAUUUUGUACUUUUUUUUUAUCUCACUCUGUAUUAAAAUAAAAAAAUGUAUACACUAAUAAUUGAAAUUCAAAUUAAUCAUUGUACAACGCUCUUAAGACUCUUUACACUCUAAUUUUGGUGUAUAUUGAAUAAAAAGAGAAAAUCUCUUAAUUAUUUAAUCAAAAAGAAAAAUAAUAGUCAACAAAAGUAUACCACAUAUUUUUUUUUAUCCCUUACAAAACUUGCGGGUAUACUGCUAGGUCAAUUCAAUUUGUGACAAAAGCAUUUGUGGAAAUUAUUUCUUUUAUUAGUAUGAAAAUAAAAAAAUAUAUAAAAAAAUUACAUUUACAUUUCCCAUAUUUGGGUGCCGUCAUAUUCAUAUUCUUCUGGCUAGACUAUGACUUUAUACACAUCAUUAAUGUAUUGAAGUCUUCAACUUGGCUGAGUGGAAUAUUUCAUUAUUCCCACUUGUAGAAGAAGCAAGUUGACAAUUUAAUACUCUUAACUACAAUUUUAGCUCUCCUUGGAAGGAUAUAUCCCAUUAGUUUACUUUAGAAGAAGACCAGUGGUGGCCAGAUUCCUUGAAUCAGCAGACAAAACCUAUCUAGUAAGCUGGUGGAUGUCACAUGCCUAAGCUUCAAAUGUUCCUUCAAGUUCAACCAUUGGUUUAUCCUGAUUACUCUAAUAAUUGUUAAUAAUAAUAAAAAAAAAUCUACUACUUGUGCCAAAAGCAAAAGCAGCAGCCAAUGGUUUUGAAGCUAUAGAGAUCAUUAAUGGAAAUGGGCCCUCACAAGUUACAUCUCACACACGUUGGUGUAAAUUAACAGUUUGCUCUUGAUUUUCACCAAAUUGUCCUCAAUUUAUAUAUCAAAGUGUACCUGAUUUACAUCAAAUAAUAACAAAUUACCUGAUUUACAUCAAACUAGACUUGAUUCACACCGAAAUCAUGCUAAUUUAUGUCAGAGGUCAACUUGUGCGAAAUUGUACGAAACACAAAUUGUGAGGCUCCAGAUCCAUCGUUAAUUGAAAAAAAAACACACAAGUUUGGUUGGAACUUGGAACUAACUGUGGAGUUCAUCAGUCAACAAAAGUACAACUUAAGAGGAUGUAUCGUGCAAAAACACUCUGGAAUUAGGUCCUGAAUGGAUUUCAAGGCUAUAUCGGAUCAAGGGCUUCUAUAAUGAAUUAUAUCGUGUAGUGUAAAUACUGACUGAACAAAUACAUACGCUAAUAUAACAAAUGUAAAUAUUAAAACAAAAAUAUGUUAAAACAUAUAUAAUAACUUUUUUUUUCACUUAUUAAAAUUUAUAUUUAAAAUUCAGUCCUUCCAUCCAAAUUCAAAUAUAUCAAUCUUUCACCGUGAACUGUUUUGUGGCAUCAAGACUUUGAUUGCAGAGAAUUUGGAUCCAUCCCUAAAUAAUCCUCAAUUAUCAGAAAGAAAAAAGAAAACCAAAAUUCGUGCUUCGAUAUGUGCCUUAUCAGAAACCUUCUCGAUCGAGCUGCAUACAAUUAGAAGACCUUUUCCUUUUUAAUUUUAAAAUAGACAAGCGGGCCGUUGAAUUGAUAAUGACUAGAUAUGGACCAUGAAAUUUUGAGACUUGAUAUAGAAUUAUGCUAAUCAUGUUUUUGCAACCUUCGAAUAUGUGAAUUUUUUUUUGUUUUGAAAAAUGAAAUUACUGUUUUUUUCCCAUGCCCAAUUCCCCAGGACUACUGUUUUUCUUGUUUAUACCAAAUUAGACUGGUUUUGAAAUGACAAAAGACCUGUGUGGAUGUGCCUUAUUAUUUCUUAUGUGGUUUUUUUUAUAAAAGAAAAAAAAUGUUAGUGAUCUCUCCGAUGUAACGUCUGCGGGUUUGUUCGGAUUGAAGAUAAUUUGGAAUUUUUUUUUUGAGAAUAAUAUUGUAGCACCUUUUGGAAUAUAAUUUAUGUGAGAUUGAAAGAUGACUGGAAGAAAAACAGAAAGGUGAUUAAGAAAUGUAUUUAUGAUGCAACGAAAAACUUUUUGGAAAAAAAUUUCAAUCCUCAGAAGAUCCAACAAUCAUUUUAGCUAUCACAAUAUUCAGUCACAAGAAAAUGUUGUUUCUGAUCCAAAUUUAAGGUACUUUCAUUACCUCCAGAGGCAGCUUCAACCUCUCAGAGGUCCCAAGAUUCCAAGCAACUAAUGAGAGCUGUGAUAAUCACUUUGGUUGAUAAAUAUUUGCCCCAACAUAUCUGCUAAUAGGGCACCUAAUAACUCUACCAUAGCAGGCUUCUUUUGUCCCAUAGUCUUCCUACUGACAUUUAUUUGUACUUUCCAACAAAAAACCAAGAAGAUAUUAUCAUAGGUUUAAUAAUAUGUAAUGCAGGAAUAAAAAUGGCAUUAUUAUUAUUAGAAAACUAAAAAGCUAGAAUAGGCAUGUUAAGGAAACAGACAUGAAUCUUUUUCAUAAUGCACAAAGUAGAAGAUUGUUUUAAGCUUAUGUAAACUUUGCGAUCCAUGAAGCUUUGGAUAUCUAUCCAACCUCAUGUAAAAAUCAAGCUAAUACUUUUGCUUUGAAUACCAAAUGGAAUGUUUGAUAGUCAUUUGUAGUUGUACAUGUUCUAGAUUAAUAUGUUCAAGCAACUUGAAGAUGUGAUUUUGUUCAUUCACGGCAAAUACCCGCCCAUGCACCUAAUGGUCUCAUUCUUUAGGAGUUUAAUUAAAAAAUGUCGAUGUUAUGAUGUAUGAAAAGUGUAGUGCUAUCAUUCUGUUUAUCAGAUUAGCACAUAAAACACAAUGUGAAGUACUAAUCGCUGGUUUAGCAUCAAAAGUUAAUAUUCCAGUUCUUUCGGAAUCCUCGACUCUAAAAUAUUGAACUUUGGUAUGAAACUAGGUUUUCCGAUUGCUAGGACCCAUGAUAUCUCAAGAUUGAACUCUCAGCUGAGCUUUACGCAUCAAGAAACUCUUUCCCAGAUCUCUGAAGAGACUGAGAAUGUUGAUAAUGGCCUCAAUGCAGAGAAUGAGAAAAGAAAAUCGGCUCAUACUUACAGCAAUGUAAGUUAUGGAGUAGGUCCUUGGGAAGAUGCCAAUACGAUAAUGUUUUCGAUGGGGCCAACAAGCAAAAGAGCUAAGAACAUGAGCGGUGACAUUGUCAAUCUGAACAGCAUGGAAACUCAGGUACUAAACAUAUCUGUUGAGCAGCUUGUGAAGCAAUUUUCAUGAGAAGGACAAUCUAAGCAUUCUGUUAAUUAGAGAUCAUCACUUCUCUGCUAACAUCCUUCUAUGUGAAAUCAAAUAUCUCUCUGCGUCACAUGAAUGCCUGGUGAAUAAAGGUAUCUAGACUUGUUUUACGGCAUUCACCCUUCUCCCCACCCAUUCCUACCGCUGCGCCUAAAGAAAAGGAACAAGAAGGACAAUAAAUCCUAGAUCUUACUCAAAAUCUGAAAAAGUAAAAAGAAAACUGGUUCUACCAAACAUUUUGUUAGUAUGUUAAGAACGUAGUAUUAAAGAAAAUUGAUGAACCAUUAAUUGACAUUUUAUUCCGUAAGUUGAAGGAGUAUGCUCCUGUAUUCUGAUUCAUUUUUUCAAUGAGCUGUAUUCAGCUACUGCUAUAGAGAGUCCUUUGUCAACUUUCUGACUUUCUCCAAUUAUAUGUUCUUAAUUCCAUAAGUUGUUGACAAGUUAACUCUCUCCUUCUUUAACCUAAUUGGGCUUUUAGUUUCAGUUUAGCAUGCCUCAGACAAUGCUGGAUAUGAGCUCCAUGGAUAAGUUGCUCAACAUCCCUCAAGAUUCUGUGCCUUGUAAAAUUCGUGCAAAGCGUGGUUGUGCUACUCAUCCCCGCAGCAUUGCAGAAAGGGUGAGCUUUAGAAUUUGACCUACGGUUUCAUAAAUAAGGUUUUGAUAAAAUAAGAUAUUUAGAGUCUUCUUUUAUUCGAAACAUUAAAAAAAAAAAUAGUUUUCUUGUAUUUUAUUAUGAGGUCUUAAUGUUAACUAUAUGCAUUUGUAACAUGAGGGUCCUUUCCCUUUUCAAUUUGAUUUCAAUGAGGUUUAACUGCACAGCACCUCCAGUUAAAGUCCAUUGUCCUUAGUCUAUCUUUUAUUCUUGCAGUUCAGCUAAUCUCUUCCAACUCAUCUAAUUGUAGCUAGUUACAUGGACGUUUUCAUAGAGUUUGUAGUUUUUUCUGCCAUGUCUCUCAGUAAUUUCCUUGUUACUCUGGUAAUCAUAUAUCUAUGGGUAAAAUUUUUCAUCAUGGAGCUUGAUAGAUAAAAAUGUAAUGACAAAUUGGCCAUGGUUGCUAUGAUGUAAUGCUAUUACCCUAAGUAGUAUUUUUCUACCUAUGUGCAGGAGAGGAGAACGAGAAUAAGUGGGAAGUUGAAGAAGUUACAAGAUCUUGUUCCUAAUAUGGACAAGGUAAUAUACCACGCCUUUUUUUCCUAUUGAUUUAGGUUUAUAUAUUUGAGUUUAAAGCUUCAAUUUUUAGAGUUCUAAUACAACUCAAUAUAGAACUAAAGAACAAAACAAUAAUCACCUCUUUUCUUUUUUUCCUUUUCAGAGAACGUAAUAAACUAACAAUGAUAACUUUACUAAUAUCUUAUAGGCUUGGUUAAUCUUUCCAACAAUUUUGAUACUGCAAAAAUUUCAACUGCAACCCGCAGAACAGUAUGAAUAGCAUUUCAAAAUGUUCCGCUUAUAUGUAACCAAAAUUACUUGUAUACUCUCUUAAAUGUUGUAUCUGGUAUGCAAGACUCAGCAAGAGCUGAAGGCAUGUGACAAGUAUCAGGUGGCAAAUAAGGCAAAAUAAGAUGUGUAGAAGACUGAAAGUUAUAUAUUGAACUCCUUAGGUAGAUCUGAUUUAUUGUGAAAGUCAUAUUUUGAACUCCAUAAUGAAGUGCAACACUUCAGAAAGGUACAAAUACUUAAUACAUGAUGAUACAAGCCUUUAAUGCAUGGUCUAUGGUAGACCUGGUCUACGUAAAGAUUAAGCAAGAUAGUCCAGAGCAGCCUCAGUAUGAUGUCCUAGUGUGUAGCAUGUGUCCUAUAUGAAGGGCCAACUGAUAAUGCGACAACCAAAAUCUUAUGUCAACCUCUCACCUCAAUUGAUGAUUUUGUUUGAGUUAGGUUGCAGAGAUAAUUUUGGUGUUUUAACAAACUUUUCCGAGGCCUUAAAAUUUGAGCUUUGGCAAUGACACCAAGCCAUAUGAAGAGAACAUUUUCAAAACUAUGCAAAGUGAAACUUUUGAAGUCCAUUUAAAGAGAUGUACAUCAUAUGAUCAAUCUGGUAGUACAGUACCUUCCCAUAUUUGUGGACCAGAAUGUUAAUAGCUGCCCUUGCUUAUCUCACCGUUUAAAAUGAAAGUGAACUAGUUCGGUCAACAGUGUCACUUUUCCUUUUCAUCAUUCUUAGCUCUGUGGAUAAAGUAAUCAGCCAUAUCCAUUGCGAAGAAGAGAGUAGUUGCUUUGAGUAGUGGUAUAUUUAACUUCCCUGUUAUUAAAAGGGGUGCUCAUUUACAAUAAAAUUAUUUUUGCUACAUAUUCCUCUGAGAAAGCUAGUAAUAAAGUUUUACGUCAGUGUGCUUGUUAAAUUCAUAAUACCUUUUCUAAAAAUGUUACCUGGAUGUAGUUUUUGGAUGAGCACAUACGAAUCCUCCUUUGGGUAAUAAAGCAUGUGUUGUAAUAUUGCUGUGGUCUUGUGACAUAGUGAAGGAAUCUUUUCCAGAGCAUGUGGUUGCUUGCAGUGAUGCCUUUAAGAGCAUAAAAGGCAUCUUGCUCUAAUAAGUCUAUUUACUUGAAAGAAGAAGGAAAGUCUCGUCAACAUGCUUCAAAGCAUUCAGUUUCUGAACUCAAGUUAACAUGUGGCAUUCAGUUUUGACUGAAAGUUCAAUUGGUUGGUAUUUGGUAUCCUAGGUUGUAUGGUCCUGGGCCAUACUAAACUAUCUUUUCAUCCUAAACCUAUAGAUAGUCUGUUGUUUUGCAGUUGAUUUUAUUGGCUUUGUUGCAUCACCAUACUUUAUCUAUGGAAUCUUAUUCUCUCUAGUUCAUCUAUAGACUUGGCAGCCAUGUUCUAAGCCUCCUGAUAUUCAUCUCUUUGAAAUUCAUUUGGACAAAUCAAUGCAAGGAUUAUCGUAAUUGAAGAUAAGGAAGGAAAACUGAGAAACAAUUUGAGGAAGCAAAUAAAAGAGACUAUAAUUGAAAAGAAAAUCAGCUAUAUCAUUAGCCAUUUCAUUCCACUCUUAGGAAGAAAAAGUUUAGACAAGGAGAAGCCUGCCACUACCUAACCUUAAGCUUGUGUACAUUCUUUGAAAGUAAAAGUCUUCUAAUAUCUGUCCUUUUCUUUGUUAAUGAGGCAGCAUCUUUAAGAGUAAAAAAUUGCUUACUUUUUUUUCAUGCUAGCUGCUGCCUUAAUGCUGCAGAAUGGGAUGAUUAGAAGCUUAAUUGUUAGACAACUCUGCAAACUAGUUUAUACACCUCAGAUCCCGCUCUAUUUUUGCUUUUCCUUUCUUAAUCUCUUUGCUUUUAACUAUGUAAAGUUUAUCAUCUGAACUUGACUGAUUUAGAUCCUAUGGCUUAAACUAGACUGGUCUCAUCUGAAGAUCAGAUUGUCAUUUUAGUGGUUAUCCAGUUGAAACCUAUACACAGUCAGAUUCAUUUUUUACCUGUUCUAACAUAAUAUUUUUUUUUCUUCAGCAAACUAGCUAUGCUGAUAUGCUGGAUUUGGCGGUGCAACAUAUCAAAGGCCUUCAGAAUCAGGUUCAGGUGAGUACUUGUACAACUCUUCAUUAUCUUUUCCCUUUUGCUAUGUUUCUUCUUCAAUCUGAAAGGCAAAAAAGAAAGUUCAUAGACCGUGAGCUUUUCAAGAAAGAACACUGGAGAUUGGUUCCAACGCUUACAUGCUUCUAGUUGAUGAUUUAUGUAGUUGCACCUGCAUAACUUACACGUAUGCUGGCAUCUUCGGUAUGUACUUGCUUGUGAGUUUCAGAUGGUGAUAAAUAAACAACAUUUUCCUUUAGUCAAUGUCAAAAUUAUGACAGGAGUUUCGACACUUGAAACAUGACCAGCAUUGAUGAAUUACUAAAAUUAUUACUGGUCAUUCAGUAUAUAGGACUCUUCCUUCUCUUUGGGUAUGCUCAAGGCAUGAAGAAAGUUUUUGAGGCAAUUAACAAAGAAUUGAAUCUUAAUUAAUGAAUAGAAACUCUGACAAAAGAAUUCUAAAGAAGAAAACUAAAUAAAAUAAGCAGGCAUGUAUACGGAGUACAGAAAAGCUUUCUGCCCUUAUCUUGCAUGACUCCUGCAUAUAGAUUCAAGUUGAAUUCAAGGAGGAGAUACAAUUAAGCACAUCACUUGGAAAGAUCUUUUUAAAUGUUACUUUACUGAAGCCCUUCUGUCUUUUGAAUUCCACAUCAAAUUCUAUGUUAAACUAGAGUGCUUUGUGUGUUCAACAUGAAAGGAAGAAACUGGCAUGACAUGUUUUAGCAGAUUUGAUUUGUGUAAAAUGCUUAUAUCUCCUGUAUAGCACAAAAAUUCGUUUAGACUGCAGCAUGCAUGGUUCAUAGCAAAGUUCCAACUGAUGCAAUUGUAAUCGGCAAUUUGCUCGUCUAAUGUGGUCUACCGUGCAUAGUUGCCAGUCUGGUAAUAGGUUAACCGUGGCUGGUGCUAGCUUAAUUUAACUUAAAUGAAGUUCUGAUGACCAUUUUGGAUUACCAUUAAAUAGCUAAAUGUGUUUGCCCUCCAUUCAGAAUCUGAAUUUUUUUUCCUUCCACCACCUUCUCCAGAGGCUCCACAAGGAACUUGAGAAUUGCACAUGUGGCUGUAGAAAACCACAAGAUUCUUGUCGAGGAGGAAAGAGCUGAAGCAAGAACAGUCAAGCUUGAUAGAAAGAUUUUUUUUGGUAAUGCAAGACAUAUCUGACUGGAUAGCAUCCUUUGCCAGGCUCAAUGUGGAGCCCAAGUUCCAAGCCAUGCAAAUGAGCCAGAAUGAAACCCAGAGUUGCCAGAGUUGUAUAUAAUGAGGCUCUCUCAAGGUUCCGCUGAAGAUGUCUGGUUAUUUUUGCUUUCUAAAAUCCAAAUAAUGCUUCUAAGGGGAUUUCUUAACAACUACUUAGAUCCUUUUCGAUCUUUUGUCCCCCCGAUUUGCAGAGAUGACCUAAUAGCUGGUUUUGGAAGCUCAAUUUUGUUCUGCUCAGAUGUUUCAAUACAUUGGUGUCUCGAUAUCGGUUGUACAUACCAUAUACUUUGGUUCUGUUCUUAGUGUAUCGAAAAUGUCCAAGUAGAUGGUGAUGACCAGUUCUCUCUUUUGUUGUAAUUUCGUUUCGGAUGCUUAAUUUCCAGGCUAUGUUAUUGUUAAUCAGAACCACCUUGGUAACUUGUAACUUUUAGUUAGUAGCUAGUUACUUGUCCAUUUAGAACAUGUGAAGCUGGGAAAAGAUGAUAAUUUUAGCAUAUUUGUUUUGUACUUGGAUUCAUUACUAUUCUACUUUCUAAGGAUGUUUGAUUAUGUUGAAGUUAGCUAAACCCAGAACCAAACAAGUAUUUGAAUUCUUUUUAGGGUAAAUUGUUAAUAACUCUUCCAUAGUUUCAUGUAUUGACGCAUAACUUCUAACGUUUUAAAAUGCGCAUUUAACCUCCUAUCGUUUCAUGUAAACUGAAAAUUUAACUAAAAACAACUUAUGUAAUGUCGUUACUUGAAAUACAAGUAGUAUCUUUACUUAAAUGUUAAAUCACACAAUGACUUAGUCGUUUUGUACAAAAUCAUUGGGGGAUUAUGUGAAAAAAAUGCAAAAAUUACAGAAGGUAAAGUGGAUAUUUAUACAAAUUAUAGGAGGAUUAAAUGAAUGUUAUGAUUUCAUCAUACACAUUUUUAGAGUGCUUAUAGUCUAAUCGCCAUACCUGAUUAUGCAUUCUACCCAUUUUUUGUUUUACAUAAAAUCAUAAAUGGUUAUGUGGCUAUUUUGAAACUUCAGAUGGGUCAUCUGGCAUUAUGCAAAAUCACAGGAGAGUUACAUGUAAUUUACCUUCUUUUUUUUUUUUUUUUAAGUUAGCUGGGCUAGUGCUCCUGCACCAUUUGGUGUAAAUUGUGACAACAAGCAUGUUAGGAUCCCAAUUGGAUUUUAGUUAUUUUUCUUGAGAAUUAUUAAGAAUUGGAGAGUUUGUAGAAAAAAUAAGAGGAAAAAAUAGAAGCAGAAUCAAGAAGCAAUAACGGACAAGGAAGAAUGGGAAGACGAAGAUAAAAACAAGAGAAACCAAAGAGUAAUUGAGAGACAUAGCAAAAUGAUUUCUGUUAUUCCUAAGAGACCCCUCUAACCAAUUACAAGUUUUUGUAGACCCCUCAAUAUAUUACUAAUUGAACCACACACAAAGAUACCUCAUGGUUACAUAUUCAAAUAUUAAAGACUAAGCAAUUGGUAUAUUAAAUCUAUACAUUUGGAUUAUGACAAUAUUUCUCCCUUUAAAGAUUAUUUGUCCUCAAGGAAUGCAAUGGGGGCAAAAAACAAUUGAAUCAAUGGAAACUGGCAUUAUUUCUCAAAUUGUUCUUUGCCUAAUUGGAUCACUUCCGGAGGAGAUACGCAUCACAAAUGAAUAAAUCAACAAUCAGGGUGGCAAAUUUGGUUGCAAUCUUCAAUGAAUUUGCUAUGAUUGAAGAAAGAGCAACACUGUUAGACACAAACUAGCAAGAUUUGCUUUAAACUUAAAAAAUGUUACUGAAUGGAAGUCUAGCUUCCCAGUUUGGAUACUUGAGGCUGUUCAAGCAGAUAUAGCAAGAGCAGUGGCUUCACUUCUAUAAAACCUUUGGGUUUUAUUUAAUGGAACUUGCUUUUGCCAUUUAGAAAAAAAAAAUUAAAUCCCAUUCAAAUCCCGUCCAUCCUGCCUAUUUGCGAUCUCCAGGUAUAUUGGUACAACUAGAGAUUAUUUUUUAAGAGCAAAGACUUGGAUGGAUCUGAUUUAUGUAGAUCUAGUGGCUCAAAAUUUAUCACACCAUCUCACCAACUCAAGUAUUAAAGAUGUGACAAAAUUUGUACCACUAGAUUUAUAAAAACCAGGUCGUUGUUUUUUAGGUGGUGAUUUUUUUAGAGUAAAUAAAGUGUCUUAGAAGUAUUUUUAUUUAGCAAAAUAAGCAAAAGGAUAGUUUGGAAUUUUUAUGAAUUUUGUUGCACAAAUAACAAAAGUAAGGGAGGUAAGUGAUGUUUUUAAAACUUUAAAAGUACUAAGUGAUAUUAAGAAAGACUUUAGGGGAGGCUUCUGAUAUUAUCCCUAUUUUAUUAUUGCGUCCGUGUAAUCUCUUGCAAUCCGAUCUACUAAUAAAUACAAAUGAUGCCGCUCGCACCAAAAUUCCAACGUCAAUCGCCUUUAGCGCCUCUUCAGUAUCCUAAAAAUAAGAAGAAAAGGCGCACAUUUCCAAACCAAAAGCACGUAAUCCCUUCUUUCCUUUUUCCUCUUGUUUUCUCUUUCGGUAAGAAAAUCUUUUCCUGUUUUAUCUUUUACCAAAAGAACCGUUGAUCCUUCGUUGAUUCAAUCGUGGAAAAACCAGUCAAACGCCAUUUAACACCGACAAGUUGAUGACAAACCAACUCAGAGUCGUUGGCACACACCACAACACAUCACUAUUUAUCAUCAUUUAUUGUUGCCUCACUGGUCAUUGUCCCUGCCUCCACCUUGUCUCCUCGGCCACCUCUUCUCCACAUCCCACAUCUUUCUGUUCAGUUCCUCCUCUCAAAAAUCCCCCCACCCUCCCUCAAGGCUCACAGCUUCUUCCCAUGGAUUCAUCAGAUGAAGAGGGGGAGGAGUAUCUGUUCAAGAUAGUGAUAAUAGGGGACUCAGCUGUGGGAAAAUCCAACUUGUUGUCUAGAUAUGCAAGAAACGAGUUCAACCCACAUUCUAAAGCCACAAUUGGGGUGGAGUUUCAGACCCAGAGCCUUGAAAUUGAUGGGAAAGAAGUUAAAGCUCAGAUUUGGGACACUGCUGGUCAAGAACGCUUUCGGGCUGUCACGUCUGCUUAUUAUCGUGGUGCCUUUGGUGCGCUUUUGGUUUAUGAUAUUAGUCGGAGGACCACCUUUGAAAGCAUUCCUCGCUGGCUUGAUGAACUUAAGAGUACGUUUUUCGAAUUCUUAAAACUUUUUUGUUUUCUUGAAUAUAUGUUUCUUAUUGUGUGUUGUACUUCGUGCAUCGGUAUUGGUACUUUUAUUGGUGACAUGUAAAACUAGAGUGAUAGGCUAUGCAAUUGCUAAUACAAAAUCUAGCAACUGCACCUGGGGUUGAUGGUUGAUUGAUUGUUUGACACAUCCCUUAAAAGUUGGUAGGUCCUGCAUGAGCAGCUGUACACAUGUUUGAUAGAGGUGCAUAAAAAAUUGGAAGUGUCUUGGAAAUGUCAAUUGUGGAAUCCUAGAUCCAUUUGAGAUUUUAAUUUUUACUGUUUCAAAGAAAAAAUAUAAGAUCAUUGGUGCAGAAUGUAUGCAUUCAUGUUUUAUAGUACAUGGUGCAUUUCAGAUUGUAAGUAGUGGGGUAUGGGGGCAAGGAUGUAGUUGGAUAGUUUAAGAUGAAUUUUUGUCCCUUUAAUGAAAAGGGAAGAAUCAUAAAUGUGAAAUGCGCAGAUUAACAGACUUGCAUGUGGUGGUUGAGAUUUGUACCAACCUUGACCAAGUAGAUUAGGCGAUAUUGACAUGAGAUCAGAGAUAAUUGUGAAAAGUGUUUAGUGUUUAGAUUUGAUUGAAUUAUUGCACUGGUUUAAGGUGGAAUCAGGAUCUUAUGACUGUGUGUGAUUACCAGUAUGAAACACAUGGUUGGUAUAGUGAUUAAUGUUACCCAUUGAUCUCUGCUAUCUCUAUGGAGAUUGAAAUUUUUGCAAGUUAGCAAUGAAGGAAAUGCAUGCAUUAAUUCAAUGAUUGGAUAAUUUGGAUGGUUUCAACAAGAAGGUGAUCAUGGGUAACAUGACUUCAUAAUCAAUUAUAUAUGAACUUCUGAAAGCAAACAAAUUAUACAGGGGCUGGAGAUAGAAAGUAGCUUCCAAAAUCAGGGUAAAAAAGUUCUGUGUUUCAGUCCAAUGUAAAUUUACAUUGAUGGAUGAUACAAGAAAGACAAAAUUGGGAAAAACUUAAAAAAAAAUUAUUCUAUUUCAGAAAUAGUUUUCGAGCACAAGACAGAUAGAAAAGAUUGAUAAGAAUAUACCUUCUAUAACUGGGAAAAGGGGGAAAAACUAAGAAAGAUAUUUUCUUAUUUAUUUGUUUUGACAUCGUAGAUUGAUACUUUGCACUAGUUUUGUCUCAUUUACAUUUUCUGGAAGCUGUAAUUGCUAUGUUCAUCUUCAAAUGAUGUGGAGGUUGAGGAUACAUAUUCAAAUGAUUGAGUAACGUGAAAGUAUUUCUCCGGAAAGCAGUGAAUGUUCUUUUGCAAGGUCCUGAAAUUAGAAGGAAACACAUAAUUUUGGAUGAUUUAUGGGGUAUAUUUUGUUCAAUUACAUCCUGUACGUCUUAUAUUAAUUGAAUCCUCUAACAGCUUGAUAAUUAGUAAAAUAAGACAAAAAUCUAAUUUGCUUCUUUACAUUAGAAUGGCUAAUUUUGUUCCUUAUUAUAUGUGAUAUAAGAUCAAAUACACCAUGUUUACCUGCCUGUAUAACAGAGUACUCCAAAUGGUAGGAAAUUUGGAUUCUGAAGAUCGUGUUAAGAUGGAUGUAUUUAUGCUGUGUAAUAUGUGUGUGUACACAUAAUUUAUCCGCAUAUCAUUUUUUGCCAAUAUAAUCUAAUUAGUAUUCAUUUUCUAAUUAGUUUAUGAUACCUCCUAUGAUGGUGCGCUGUUUCCUCCAAAAGAAGUAGGAUGUUUCACUAACUUUUCAUUUAUUGAAAUCAGCUUAUGUCUGUAUAUAGCUGUUCUUAACUCGGCUUGCCAAAAAAGUAACAGGAUAUGCUUUAAACAUAAUGUUUCAUCUUCCACAUCAAAGUAGCAGUGUAUGGUUAAAAGACUUCAUUAGUAUAAAGCAUUUCAUUGAAACACAAAAUUAAUUUUUAAGGAAUGCUUAUAGGAAAAUAAUGUUAUUUUUGAAGUCAAGAUGAAGUUCAUGAGUAUAUAUUUAAUGGGUAAAAAACAAAAAAGCCCCCUGUGGUAAGCCAAAUACACAGAAAAGCCUCCCUAUGGUUUCAAAAUAUACAAUACGACACCUCAUGUUUUGAACUAAAUUGUAAAGGUGACGGAAUCCGUUAAACUUAAUGGAACUUAAAAAAAAAUUUAUACCUAAUUUUUAUCAAAUAUACCUAUUCUACCCCUUAACCCUCAAUUCCCUCUAUUUAGAGAAUAAAACAAAUGAUUUUUUUGAACUGUCUUUUGCUUAAUUAUAUCAGGGCAUUUUGGUCAUUUCGUCCAUUUCCGUUAAGUUUAACGGAUUCCGUCACGUUUAACGGAUUCCGUCACCUUUACAAUUUAGUUCAAAGCAUGAGGGGUCGUGUUGUAUAUUUUGAAACCAUGGGGGACUUUUCUGUGUAUUAGAUUUACCACAGGGGGUUUUUUUAUUUUUUACCCAUAUUUAAUUUAUAUGUCACUACAAUCUUCUCUACUAGUAAAGCCCAUAGAAGAUAAUUUGUAAUUAAGGAGUCGCAAAGAUUUGCUAGAUGAGGAUGGGGUAUAAAACUAAUUUAAGGAGGAAUCUAUAGUCAAGUUACAGUGGAACUGCUUUCAAUCUAUCAACAAAUUAGCUAGUGAGAUGUUUGAAACUUGAAAGCUGCCAUUUGUCAACAUUCAUGCCCAGAAAUUAAAAAAGGGAGUGAAUUAUCAUUGCUAGUCCAUACAUGAAUUGUGAAAAUUGGAAGUCCAACUAUAAACUUCAUUUGCAACAUUGAACAAGCUGUCAAACUAGCACAUUUCCUUAGCUUUAAUUGGGGUAGUUGGAUUACAAAUAAAAUUGAUUUGGAGAGGUUAAUGGAGAUUUUACUAGGCUUUUAAUAUUAUGUCUAACUAAUUAAGUUUUUUGGAUUAGAUAUACAAUAAACCCCAACUAGUGAAUUUAUUCAGAGAAAUGUUGAUAAUAUAAAAACUGCUAUUAAUAGUAAUCCAUCACCUUUGACUGCCAAUUGCGGGUACAUCCGGUGACCAAAGAUCAUCAUAAUUGAGGACUUAUUACUUCAAGUCACAGGUAUGAAGACUUUGGGCUGUGUGCACAGUAUUGAGGCUUUGUUGAUGAUGAAUUGAGCAUCAACUUUCAGUGCGUUUGAGAGAAAAAUGGAAGGAGAAGAAAAGCAAAUAAAAUGGGGGAAAAACAAAUGACGAAGGGGAGAGUAUGUGUUGAUGGGUUCAGUGAGGUAUGGAAAAUUCUAUUGUUUUACCAAUAAGUCUCUAAAUUGUUAGCUUAUUACAUAAUAAACCCCGAUUAAUAGUUAAAGGACCAAACUACAAUUAUAGUUUGGGGCUAGGUAUUCCAUUCUGCCCUCCGCGGUUUCAUCCUCAAGACUUGGACAAUAAAAUUUCUCAAAACCAUAAAGCCAUUGUUUGAGUUUAAAUUAUAUUCCCCUAAAUGCAUGAUUAACAAUCGAGUAUUAUCUGCAUCAAACUCUUUUUUGUAGUUUAAGUUUUGGCAAUUUCCACUACUACAAAGCAAGCGAAGAAAACGUGAGGGUGCACGUUACCAAUCCUAAGUAAAAUGUCCUAUUAUUUGUUAAAAGCCAAAGGAAAGCUUUGAUAUAAGUAAGAUGCACUUAACCACCCAACAUAGAAAAGUUGGGUUUGGGCUUGAAAGCCGACGUUACUUGACGAGCACCUUUCUAAAUAAGAUUGCUUGUCUCCACUCAUUGAAGAUUGCUUAUAGAAAAGGUCAAUUUUGGGGGGGGGGGGUACUAAAAUGCCUCUUGUUGACACCAUUUACAAGAAGGUGUGGUCGUCUUUCUUUCUAGCAGCCAUACAGUUUGGCUUAAAUAUGGAGAAGAGGGGGAAGCAGUUAUCUAUGUAGUUAUGGUCUCUAAAGCUGUUAUUCUAGUCAAGCACUCUCUUUUCUUUGUCGAAUCUUCUCCUACCUAAGAAGAGUAACUUCUUACCAACCUGCGAGAGUUGUUUGGCUGGGAUUGUCUAUUUUCAUAGAACAAUAUUUAUGGAAAUUGAGGAUGUAAGACUAGGUAAUUUUCAAAGUGAAGAAACCAGACUUAUAAUUGAGCCAUGAUCAAGAAUCCCAGGAUCCAAGCUUGACUGUCUUGCAGAUACACACACACACGCAUAUAGACAAUAAAUCAAUCGACUCAUGGAGGAUCUAAGGAGUAGCUUUACGAUGGGUUUUGAAACCAUCAUUUGUGUGUGUGUGUGUGUGUGUGUGUGUGUGUGUCUGAGACAGAGAGAUCCCCCAUCCUAAUUAGAAAUCCCCCUAUAGUUCUUUAAGUUAGCAUUAUGCUAUUCCUCUAACUCUCAAGGCCAGUCCCCUUUCAAAUUGAGGUCUGACCACUUCUCCACUAACUGGUUUGUAUCCUUAUUGCUUUUGUCUAGUCACCAAAACUCUCUGAUCCUUGUUUGAGCCUUUUAGCUGUCUAAUGCAGUAGAUAGAUAACUAUCGAGAAAAGAGAUAAUGAGAUAGCAUGAACUCCUAAAGAUUCAUAUGGCAUUUGAUGAAUCACAGAAAGCAUCUCUUAAACAGAACUCCAUUGUCAAAUUUGAGGUAUCAUCAGAUCAAGAGUUUGAGAGAACCUAUGGAAAACCCAUUCUAGGAAAAAUCAUUGGACCUAGGCUAGCUAAAAGUUCUCCACAUUGAAAAUAACACGAUACAAAGGUCUAUCAGGGACAAUUAGAUGACAAAAACAUUAACAUCAUGGACCUACUACAAUUUCUCUUCCAAAAAGUACAACUUCAAAAGAAGAGGGUUUGGAAGGAUGUUAACCAACAAAGAGGAAUCUGAAGCUUGGAAUGGUUACAUGUGUAGAGUUUGAUGAGAGGAUUAUGCGACUAAAAUCUCAUUUCAAUGGUCUUUGUUUCACCAUUGGAUCAUGGAUUCAAAGUUGCGGCUUUACUUUAUCUCUGGAGCUCUUAUGCCAAUUUCAAUUUUCUCUCUUCAUUCUUUUUGUGCUCAUGCUACUUAUGCUUUCUCUGAAGUGAUUAGUCUCACCUGGCCUUCCUUUGCUGAAGUCAAAGUUGAUUAUUUUAAGGUGAUGAACUUUUAUUUUUCUUUGGGCCACUCAAGUGAGAUGGAUCCAAGCUUAGCAAUUCAAGCUUUUGUCACUUGAAAAAGCACAUAUAGUUGAUGGUGCUGAAAUGUUGAGUAAGGGGGAAGCUGUUGUUUUGCAGAUGGGGAGCAAGAUUGGUGGUGCCCUCGUACAAGCUGAAGGGGGAGAUUGUUGGGCUAGCAAAAGCAAAUCACUUAAACUUAGUCAACUUUGACUUGAGGAAAGGAAACACAGUGAGACUAGUCAAUUUAGAAAUGGUAAAAAAAUUAAUCCAACGAUCAACCAGGCAUGGGGCUGGUCAGCGGGUUAAUUUUUCAACCGAUGGAUCACUGGUUAAAUUGUUGGUUUCCAUAAAAUAGUACAACAAUAUAAUUCAGUUGUUAACAUUCAAAUUAUUAAGAUUUUGAAAGAUAAAAGCCAACUAUUUUGAUAAUUCCAACUUGUAAUAAGUUACAUAGUCAAAUUUCUAAAUCAAAAUGUACUUGUUCCAAAUGUAAGUUUGUUGUUGUUGUCCUUCUGGUUUUAUAUUGGAUAGCUAGAAGCUGUAGAAUACCAGAAGUAUGUUUGUGAACUAUAAGAAAUCAAUUGAAAAGUUUGAAAUAAAGAGCAAAAAGAUGGAAAGUGAUAUGAUUCUCUAUUGAAUGAUAAAAGUUUGGCUUAAAGAAGUCAUUGUGGGAUGUUUGCUCAAACCAGCCGAGUUCCCAGUCUCCCAAUUUACCGGUAGGUUUCACUGGGUCCAAAUGGCUGCUGUCCUUAUCUGGUUGGUCUAGUCUGCCAUCCCAGUCCCAUGGUCGGGUCACUGAGUUGACCAAUUCAAUCGUCUGGUCGGGUUGGGUUUAAUAACUUUGCUUGAGAGAAUGCAAUAGCGAAGAAAGAAGAACAAAGAGAGACAAAGUUGAUAUUGGGACAAAGAGGUCUAGGUACAGAAAGUAUAAGCUGUAAUUUUGAAGUCGUGGAAUGGUGAAGUAACUCCGAUCGUGACUACAUUUUAGCCAUCCGAUUUUAUCACCAACUCUACAAUGUUCUGAUUAUAAUUUCAUAUUCCUCUUUGUUUAGUAAGAUCCUUCCCCAGUCACUUCCUUUGAAAUUGUAACUAUUGGUUAGGAAAUUGCAUUAGAUACACUUUACAGUUGAUGUUGUCAUCAUAUACGUGUUCUUGCAGACACCUUCGCAUACCAAUUGUUUUGCAGUGGAGAUUCUUUAGCAGAUUAGGUCCCAUUGAUUUUUUUUUCCAAUUUGGGUUUGCCACAGUUACAAGUGAUGGUGUCCUGUGCUUGUUUCUUUUUUCUACUUUAAUGCUGUUGUUGAUGUCAUUGUUUAGUUAUUUUGAUUCAUCCCAUCCCAUGUCAUUGUUUACAUUGGGUUGUGGUUUAUGUUGAUAUUUGCCUGCCUGCACCUCUACCCCUUUCUCAAUCUUUUUUCUGCGAAGAUAUUUUGAAAGGGGAUUCUUUGAGUAAUUUCUUUAUCAUUCCAUGAUCAAAUGCCCCUCUACAAGCCUGAGGAAAGUGCUAUUGGGGGUUUUAAGAGUAAUGCAUGUUGGAUGCCUAUAUCAGGGAGGCAGAAAAGAUAGUUUUCUUCUUUGUUUAAUUGUCCAAACAGAUGUACUGUCAGAAGGGAAGUAUAUAUUUUCUCCUAAACAAUGACAUUGAUGAUUUCAUUUUCCACUUGGUAUAUUGUGGAAGUUGUGGUCACUGAAUAUCUUUUGUGCAUGGGUAUGGUUCUCAAGCUACGGUCUCUUGCUUUCAGAAUCAAUUUCAUGAUCUAUCAUUCUCAUCGUAUAACUACCCUCUGCGUU
rnacentral:lncRNA from 1 species